GACGAUUAAGCACAAUUCUCUGAUUAAUUCUAGCACAAUAAACUAAGUGAAAUCAAUAAAAUAUCGACUCAUCAACCGUGCUUCUAUUAAAGAAAUUCAUGUGCACUGUGAGCUUCUAAAAAGAAAGAAAAUAAAUUGUUUUUCUAUCCAAGAAAAAGAAAAUAACAAAUGCGUAAGUUUUCAGCUCAAAUUAAAUACACCGUGCAGCUCACCAUCAUGUGCCUAAAAAAAAGAAAAAUUGUUUUGCUAUUUUUUUUCUUAAAAGAAAAGAAACCCCAGCAUAACAUCACCGUCCACCUUACCUCUCAAAAUUCAAUGCAAUGUAAUAACCUUCAUGAAUUAAAUCUGCACCCCUUUUCUAAAAGCAAAUGAAAAUAUUGAUAAUCAUUUCCACUUCCUAUUUGUUCAAAAUAAAAGCAAAGAAAAAAAAUAAACUUGCAGUCAUGGCAUUCCCAGCAGAAACCGUGAGUGCACAAAGAUGGAAUCAUGGUGCAGCUCCAUCCUAUUCUAAAAGUAAAUAAAAUUGAUAAUAAAAUUCCAUCCUCAAGUACCAUGACUCUGCUGCACCAUUUCUCAAGCACUGUCUCUUCUAACAAAUAAAAUAGCAAAUAAAAGAAAAGGGACCAGCUCCAAAUGCAAUGACCGUGACUACUAAGUGAUAAGCCUCUCCAUUGUGUGCGUGAAAUUGGAACUUGGAAGAGAAGGAAUUCCAGCAACCGGCAGCGGAAAAGGAUGAGAUGUAGUGAGUGGCUGUGACGGCAGAGAAGGAGGUGGUGUGGUCCUAGCUUCAGGCAGCCUCCAUUGUUGGAAGAAAGCUAAGAGGUGGGAGAGAGUUGAGAGAAG
rnacentral:lncRNA from 1 species